rnacentral:rRNA from 1 species
UACGUAGGGUGCGAGCGUUAAUCGGAAUUACUGGGCGUAAAGCGUGCGCAGGCGGUUUUGUAAGUCAGAUGUGAAAUCCCCGAGCUCAACUUGGGAACUGCGUUUGAAACUACAAGACUAGAAUAUGUCAGAGGGGGGUAGAAUUCCACGUGUAGCAGUGAAAUGCGUAGAGAUGUGGAGGAACACCGAUGGCGAAGGCAGCCCCCUGGGUCAAGAUUGACGCUCAUGCACGAAAGCGUGGGGACAAACGAGG